GACGAACGCUGGCGGCGCGCCUAACACAUGCAGGUCGAACGAGCGAGAGAGAGCUUGCUUUCUCGAGCGAGUGGCGAACGGGUGAGUAACGCGUGAGGAACCUGCCUCAAAGAGGGGGACAACAGUUGGAAACGACUGCUAAUACCGCAUAAGCCCACGACCCGGCAUCGGGUAGAGGGAAAAGGAGCAAUCCGCUUUGAGAUGGCCUCGCGUCCGAUUAGCUAGUUGGUGAGGUAACGGCCCACCAAGGCGACGAUCGGUAGCCGGACUGAGAGGUUGAACGGCCACAUUGGGACUGAGACACGGCCCAGACUCCUACGGGAGGCAGCAGUGGGGAAUAUUGCACAAUGGGGGAAACCCUGAUGCAGCGACGCCGCGUGGAGGAAGAAGGUCUUCGGAUUGUAAACUCCUGUUGUGGAGGAAGAUAAUGACGGUACUCAACAAGGAAGUGACGGCUAACUACGUG
rnacentral:rRNA from 1 species